GCGCAGGCGCGGGGCCGCCCCACGGCCGCCGCGGCCGGGCGGGGAGCGGAGCUGCCUCAGAGGCCGCGGCGGCGGUCGGGGCUGAGGUUUGGGGCUGCCCUCAGGUGGAGUGGACACGUGAGACGGGGUGCUGCUUCUGUGUCUCCUUCCUCGCAGAAUCGCGGAAUCGAACUCAUGCUCAGAAAAAUCCUUCUUAUGUCAUUUCAUUACAUGCUAUAAAGCUGGAGUUCAUGGCACACAGGAAAUUCAGUGGAGUUGCAAUGGCUGCCAUCCGCCGAACAAAUCAAACAGCAAGGCCUUUCUAGAACAAACCUGCCACUGAACCCUGGAAGGUGAGAGCAUCUAAAUGAAUACAUGAGGAUGGUACUGGUUGUCUGGCAGUUCUCCAAAGCAAUGCAACAGUAAGCUGAAAUGAGCAUAGCUGAAGAGGCAGUCAGCAACAGCAAGAAAUCUAGCUGGCAAGAAACCACAAGAAAAGAUCAGGCACAAUAAGGUAAAACAUCAUAUUACAGCAUAGCUGUCAAACCACCAAAGCAGGUCUUUCCACAAAACAUAGAAAAGAUCCUCAGUGGAGGUUAUCACUGCAGUCUCCAUUAUCAAAUUGAACUGAAGGCAACUAAAUUUCAGGAAGAUACUCAUUUACCAGGAGCAAGAACUGCAGAUGGAUUGCUCAAAAUUGAGUGGAAGUGAGUUAAAACCACUAAGGAAGUUUAACACAGAUAAAAGUAAAGUUACUCAUAUGAGGAAAUUAUUUUCUUAAACUGUAAUUAUCAUUACUGUUUCCAGGUUGGAUACUACCAAUAAAGCAUAAGAAUUUAAGGUCAUCUCUUUUAAGAAAAUAAGAAUAUUACCAAUAAAGCAUGAGAUUUCUAAAAUCUGUAAAAACAUAUCAUUCAGAAAUACUGAAGAAAAAAUAUAUUCGGAAAUAGAGAACUAACAGAAGUCAUCAUGAUGUGGUUAGUACGAGACAGGAGUGCAUUUUAAUAUGUAUGCAGUUCUGAUCUCGUUUCUGACAGAAUAUAAUAAACAUGAAAAGGGUAAAAGAGGAGCAACAGGGAUGGGUGAUGUGGUUUAAGGAUGGUAGUGACAGUGCUGCAUUGAUGGUUGGACUUGAUGAUUUUAAAGGUCCUUUCCAAUGUUGAUGGUUCCAUGAAUCUGUGAUAGAGAUCCUCCAAUUUACAGACCCUUGCAUAUGGUCUGUGACCACAAAGGGCAGACUACAUAGAUUAAGACAUUCAAUUCAGAAGAUACCCAUCUAUAAAAUUAUGGGUGGCAAAGUGAGGGUGACUUCUCUUUAUCUGCUCCAACAAAAAAAUUAAGAGGCAUCAAACAGAAGUAGGAGAUGGCAGAUUCAGAAUAAAACAGAGGAGAUGCUGCUUCAUGGGAGUUUUUGCCACAAACAUUGGGUGGGGGUAAAUUUUGGAAUCUGGAUAAGUAUCUCCUUGCCAUACAUUUAUACUUUUCUGGAGGUAUGAACUAUUGGCCAGUAUUUUGCAGAGGGCCAGUUUGAAAAAAAAAUUCUAAAAGUGCACAGGCUACACAGUGUAAGGAUGAUUCUGGCCCUACUUUGUUUCCUUCUCAGCAGUUUCUAACACAGAAGCUUCUCCUGCUAGUGAACAUUGCCAGUGUAGGGAGCUGUGUUUGAAAAUGUCCGUGUUGGCUUCUUGGUCCAAGGUCUAGGCUGUACAUGGUCGUAAAAUUGGGUCCCCCUUAGUGGUCCAACCAGCACAACAUUUCAAAAUGACUCAGUCACUGGUUACUUUGCCAUAACAGAUGGACCUAGAUAGGAAAGACUCUUGUCAGACACAUUAAUGUGUUAUAUUGUAUUGGGCCAUAGUAAUGUCUGCAUGAGAAUGCCAGGUACUGACAAAAACCACUUUGCAUGCUUCCUUGUCAGUCCAGUGGGGCAUUUUUUUGUGUGCUAAUAUAUAUGUGUGUAUAUAUAUAUUUAAAUACUUACCUUUCAUUUUAUCUUCCUCUUUUCUUGAAAU